CAUACGCGUUCAGAGUUUGAUCCUGGCUCAGGAUGAACGCUGGCGGCGUGCAUAACACAUUCAAGUCGAACGGUGACGAGGACUUCGGUCCUCUGAUCAGUGGCGGACGGGUGAGUAACGCGUGAGCAACCUGCCCUUGUGUGGGGGAUAACGUCCGGAAACAGACGCUAAUACCGCAUAACGUAUUGAUACCGCAUGGUAAUGAUACCAAAGAUUUAUUGCGCAAGGAUGGGCUCGCGUUGGAUUAGAUAGUUGGUGGGGUAACGGCCUACCAAGUCAACGAUCCAUAGCCGGACUGAGAGGUUGAACGGCCACAUUGGAACUGAGAAACGGUCCAG
rnacentral:rRNA from 1 species